rnacentral:lncRNA from 1 species
CCGCGGCUCCUUUCCCCGCGCUGCGCGUCUGCCCCCGAGGACCUGGGGGUGCUGCUGGGACCCCGUGGUCUCCCACCCCCGCACCACCACCACCUACUGCCAAUCCUGUGCGGGACUGCAAAGUCCUCGCAGGGAGAGAGACAGAGAGAGAGCCCAGAGUGAGGCGUGCGUCUGGAAAGGGCAGUGCCGGGUGGUGGCGAGGCUGGGGCUCCAGUGCAUCAAAGGAGGCGUUUGUCUGAUUAAGGUGCCCACUGAUGGCAAUGCCGGUCUGCUGGCAGAACCCCAGAUCGCCAUGUUCUGUGGUAAACUCAACAUGCACAUGAAUGUGCAGAAUGGAAAAUGGGAGUCAGACCCAUCAGGGACCAAAACCUGCAUUGGCACCAAGGAGGGAAUCCUGCAGUACU